rnacentral:rRNA from 1 species
UACGUAGGGGGCUAGCGUUGUCCGGAAUCAUUGGGCGUAAAGCGCGUGUAGGCGGCCCGGUAAGUCCGCUGUAAAAGUCGGGGGCUCAACCCUCGGAUGCCGGUGGAUACUGUCGGGCUCGAGUACGGAAGAGGCGAGUGGAAUCCUGGUGUAGCGGUGAAAUGCGCAGAUAUCAGGAGGAACACCGAUGGCGAAGGCAGGUCUCUGGGCCA